rnacentral:rRNA from 1 species
GACGAACGCUGGCGGCGUGCCUAAUACAUGCAAGUCGAACGCAGUGGGGACGGGUGAGUAACACGUGGGUAACCUCCCAUCAGAGGGGACAACACUUGGAAACAGGUGCUAAACCGAUACUGAUGGAUGGACCCGCGGUGCAUAAGCUAGUUGGUGAGGUAACGGCUCACCAAGGCCACGAUGCAUAGCGGACGUGAGAGAGGGAUAGGCCACACUGAGAUUGAAACACGGCCCAGACUCCAACGGGAGGCGGCAGGAGGGAAUCUGCGGCAAUGGACGAAAGUCGGACCGAGCAACGCCGCGUGAGUGAAGAAGGUUUUGGGAUCGUAAAUCUCUUUUGUUAGGAAAGCGUUAUCUAACCAGAAGGCCACGGCUAACAACGUGCCAGCGGCCGCGUAAAAC